rnacentral:rRNA from 1 species
CGCAGCCGCGGUAAUUCCAGCUCCAAUAGCGUAUAUUAAAGUUGUUGCAGUUAAAAAGCUCGUAGUUGAAUUUCGGGGUUCAUCCGUUGGUCGGGCUUUUUUGGUCUGUACUGGCGUGAUGGAUUCCUACCUUCUGAAUAACCAGCAUGUCAUUAAUUUGGUGCGCUGGGGAAGCAGGACUGUUACCUUGAAAAAUUAGAGUGCUUAAAGCAGGCUAUCGCCUGAAUACAUUAGCAUGGAAUAAUGAAAUAGGACGGCAUGGUUCUAUUUUGUUGGUUUCUAGGAUCACCGUAAUGAUUAAUAGGGAUAGUUGGGGGCAUUAGUAUUCAAUUGUCAGAGGUGAAAUUCUUGGAUUUAUUGAAGACUAACUUCUGCGAAAGCAUUUGCCAAGGAUGUUUUCAUUAAUUCAAGAACGAAAGUUAGGGGAGUCGAAGACGAUCAGAUACCG